rnacentral:rRNA from 1 species
GAUGAACGCUGGCGGCGUGCUUAACACAUGCAAGUCGAGCGAAGCGCUUUGAAUUUUUCGGAAUGAGAAGUGACUGAGCGGGCGACGGGUGAAGGUAACGCGUGGGUAACCUGCCUCAUACAGGGGGAUAACAGUUAGAAAUGACUGCUAAUACCGCAUAAGCGCACGUCAUCGCAUGAUGGUGUGUGAAAAACUCCGGUGGUAUGAGAUGGACCCGCGUCUGAUUAGGUAGAUGGUGAGGUAACGGCCCACCAUGCCGACGAUUGGUAGCCGGACUGAGAGGUUGAACGGCCACAUUGGGACUGAGACACGGCCCAG